GCUUGUCUCAAAGAUUAAGCCAUGCAUGUCUAAGUAUAAACGAUUAUACAGUGAAACUGCGAAUGGCUCAUUAUAUCAGUUAUAAUUUAUUUGAUAGUACCUUACUACUUGGAUAACUGUGGUAAUUCUAGAGCUAAUACAUGCAAAAAAACCCGACUUCUGGAAGGGUUGUAUUUAUUAGAUGGAAACCAAUGCGGGGUAACCCGGAAUAUGGUGAUUCAUAAUAACUUUCGGAUCGAUUUAUCGAUGCAUCAUUCAAGUUUCUGCCCUAUCAGCUUUGGAUGGUAGGGUAUUGGCCUACCAUGGCUUUAACGGGUAACGGAGAAUUAGGGUUCGAUUCCGGAGAGGGAGCCUGAGAAAUGGCUACCACAUCCAAGGAAGGCAGCAGG
rnacentral:rRNA from 1 species